ACGCUGGCGGGUGCCUAACAAUGCAAGUCGAACGAGAAAGCCCUUCGGGGUGAGUAGAGUGGCGCACGGGUGAGUAAUGCAUGGGAAUAUACCUUCAGGUGGGGAAUAACAGUUGGAAGCGACUGCUAAUACCGCAUAGUCUCUUCGGAGUAAACGAGGCCUCUUCUUGAAAGCUACGGCCUGAAGAUUAGCCCAUGUCGCAUUAGCUUGUUGGUGGGGUAAUGGCCCACCAAGGCUACGAUGCGUAGCUGGUCUGAGAGGAUGAUCAGCCACACUGGAACUGAGACACGGUCCAGACUCCUACGGGAGGCAGCAGUGGGGAAUAUUGCACAAUGGGCGCGAGCCUGAUGCAGCAACGCCGCGUGGGUGAAGAAGGCUCUUGGGUCGUAAAGCCCUUUCGUCAGUGAAGAAGGGCGUUUAGUCGAAUAGGCUGAACGUUUGACGGUAACUGAAUAAGAAGCACCGGCUAAUUUCGUGCCAGCAGCCGCGGUAAUACGAAAGGUGCAAGCGUUGUUCGGAAUAACUGGGCGUAAAGCGCUCGUAGGCGGGACUUCAGGUCGAUUGUGAAAGCCCAGGGCUCAACCUUGGAAUGGCAGUCGAAAACGUUGUUCUUGA
rnacentral:rRNA from 1 species